GCCGAAAUAGCUCAGUUGGGGAGAGCGUUAGACUGAAGAUCUAAGGUCCCUGGUUCGAUCCCGGGUUUCGGCA